CAAUUCUCCCACAGCCUUACUAAUUUUUUUUUUUUUAAAUAGGAUUGCAAAACUGGGAACCAGGACCAAGCAUCAUGGCUGCUAAAAACUUUUCUUCAAAUAAAAUAAAUUUUUUUUGGUCAAGUCUUUGUUUUUCAUUUUGGCAUCUAGGCUAUGUAUCAUAGAGAACAUAAAUUCUUUUUCCCAGUGACUGGUAUUUUCUUGCCUCUCAUUUUAUUUUAUUCAUUCUGUUAUAUGGAUUUUGCAAAGCUGACUUUCAAUUAACCUUAUGUCCCCUGAGGCUAAACUUUUGAUUUAAAACUAUUUGAAGAUUUGGACUCUAGAUUCUGGGGUGCAUAUGAUUCAUCUAGGGUUUACGUGACCCAGAGCUAGCAAAAACAGUGUUCAGAUUUGAUGCCAGUGGCCAGCUGCUGGACCAACAGGCUACAAAGGAGGUAUCACUAAAUAGCUGGGAGUUCCAGUGUUCUCUGAAGCUCAGUGAUGGUGCUGGAGAAUUCCUCUUCCAGAAUCAAGUGGUCAUACCAAUGUAGCUCCAUUCAGCAUUUGGGUUAGCCAUUAAUGAAUGGCUGACCACCUGGUCAAGCUGUUCUCUGUCUACCUUACCUGGUAUAGGCUCUUGCCACUCACCCUUCUGGAUCUUCAUUUCUUUUCACUUCUCUCAAUGGGCUAGGCUUCUUAGGGAUUCCCCUCCAGGUGAGGCUUCCUUAGCUAGACAUUUAGUGGAAUUCUCACCAAUACCAUUGACUUCUUUAUCCCUCCACCUUCGUGUGGUCACUAUGCCAAUUCUGGAAGAAAACCCAAUGUCAU
rnacentral:lncRNA from 1 species